UGGACCUACGGGGGGCAGCAGUGGGGGAUAUUGCACAAUGGGGGAAACCCUAAUGCAGCAACGCCGCGUGAAGGAAGAAGGUCUUCGGAUUGUAAACUUCUGUCUUUGGUGAAGAUAAUGACGGUAGCCAAAGAGGAAGCUCCGGCUAACUACGUGCCAGCAGCCGCGGUAAUACGUAGGGAGCAAGCGUUGUCCGGAUUUACUGGGUGUAAAGGGUGCGUAGGCGGUUCUGCAAGUCAGUUGUGAAAACUAUGGGCUUAACCCAUAGCCUGCAAUUGAAACUGUGGGACUUGAGUGAAGGAGAG
rnacentral:rRNA from 1 species